rnacentral:snRNA from 1 species
GGAUGUGAGCUGCUCUGGAAUUCUGUUCUGUCAUCCCAUUGAUUGCCAAGGUUAAUUGCUGAUCUAGCUGGCUAGGCGGGAGUUCCGGUCCUUCCUCACAGCUCCAUGUGUGUGCCCUGGCAAAGCCACUCCUGUGGCUGAAGGGGAAGACCACCUAGCAAGUGGGACCCACAGUUCUUCGGUCAAGGGCACCCAAAUAGAUGCACAUUCCAGCUAAAACCUUCAAAUAAGCUCUCAAAAGAUGAAAGUUGGGGCUGGAGAGAUGGCUCAACGGUUAAGAGCACUGCUUCUCAGAAGACCUGGGUUGGGCUCCCAG